ensembl:lncRNA
AUGCCUCUAAUAUUUUGUUUCUCUGUAGAUAGUUUAUUUUGUAUAGUCAUGCUCGGGGUGGCAUCUGGCACUGGGGGUGUCUUUACAAGCACCGAUCACCAGAGUUUGUCAUGCAUCGCCUGCAAGAGUCCUGGAUGUGCUGCUGAUGUGACUAAGAUAUGGUGUGGAGAGGAUGAACUGUUGAAGGGGUUUACUGAUCCCACUCUGCACAAGCAUUUCCCAAAAGUCCAAGACUGUUUGCCAGCAUGCUGGUCGGACAUUUGUGCUUAUGAUUGAAGAGGGCAAGAAGUGUGAUAUGGAACAAUAUCAUGACCAUGUGCCCUCUGAAAAGACAGGUAUUGACUUCAACUGAAGACACAUUCUACUAUGUCUAUGGUGAGCCUUGUUUAAAAAAAAAAAAAGUUUAACAUUUCUGGAAUUAUGUUUCAGAGUGUCCAUCAUUGUUGGAGGCUGCUCAAGACUCAAGGUUGGACACUGUUCGAGGCAAGCUAUCUGUCCAUAGGGUCUGUUUGUUUAUGCAACACAGACAAAAACAUGUUUCUGAGUUAACUUAAAAUAUUACAUUUUCAUCGUUUAGUUUUUGUGAAUCUUAUUUAAUUUUUUCUCUUGUUCUUUACAUAGGUGACACCACUUUGUCAGCACCAACUCUCAAUGGUGAGCUAUAACAGAAGGGUUAGGUUUUAACUGUGUAUUAUUCUGAAUUAUUAACUAGGUAGUUCGAGCCCUGAAUGCCGAUUGGCUGACAGCUGUGGUAUAUCAGACCGUAUUCCACGGAUAUGACAGAACAUGUAUUUUUACUGAUCUAAUUACAUUGGUAACCAGUUUAUAGUAGCCAUAAGGCACCUCAGGGGUUUGUGGUAUAUGGCCAAUAUGUCACGGCUAAGGUCUGUAUCCAGGCACUCCAUGUUGCAUUGUGCAUAAGAACAGGCCUUAGGCGGGGUAUAUUGGCCAUAUACCAUAUCGAGUCGUGGCUGAACGACUACGCGGACAAUAUAGAGCUGGAGGGAUUUUCAAUGCACCGGCAGAACCGAGAAGCUAUGUCUGGUAAGACAAGGGGUGGGGUUGUGUCUUUUUAUCAAUAACAGCUGGUGCACGAUGUCUAAUAUAAAACAAGGGAUUGCUCGCCUGAGGUAGAGUACCUUAUCAUAAGCUGUAGACCACACUAUCUACCAAGAGUUCUCAUCUAUAUUAUUCGUAGCCGUCUACAUACCACCACAGACCGAUGCUGGCACUAAGAGCUCACUCAACCAACUCUAUAAGGCCAUAAGCAACAAAGAAAAUGCUCACCUAGAAGUGGCACUCCUAGUGGCCUGGGACUUUAAUGCAGGCAAACUUAAAUCUGUUUUACCAAAUUUUUACGAGCAUGUCACAUGUGCAACCAGAGGGGGGAAAAAAACUCUAGACCACCUUUACUCCACACAUAGAAACGCAUACAAAGCUCUCCCCCGCCCUCCAUUUGGCAAAUCUGACCAUAGUUCUAUCCUCCUGAUUCCUGCUUACAAGAAAAAAUGAAAUCAGGAAGUACCAGUGACUCGCUCAAUACAGAAGUGGUCAGAUGAUGCGGAUGCUACGCUAAAGGACUGUUUUGCUAGCACAGACUGGAAUAUGUUCUGGGAUUCAUCCAAUGGCAUUGAGGAGUAUAUCACCUCAGUCAUCGGCUUCAUCAAUAAGUGCAUCAACAACGACGUCGUCUCCACGGUGACCGUACGUACAUAUCCAAACCAGAAGCCAUGGAUUACAGGCAACAUCUGCAUCGAGCUAGAGGCAGGGCUUAAACUAUUACGGACUACAAAGGGAAACCCAGACACGAGCUGCCCAGUGACGCGGGCCUACCGGAGGAGCUAAAUGCCUUUUUAUGCUCGUUUC